CACUGACGAGUUUGAUCCUGGCUCAGAUUGAACGCUGGCGGCAUGCCUUACACAUGCAAGUCGAACGGCAGCACGGGAGCAAUCCUGGUGGCGAGUGGCGAACGGGUGAGUAAUAUAUCGGAACGUGCCCAGUCGUGGGGGAUAACGUAGCGAAAGCUACGCUAAUACCGCAUACGAUCUAUGGAUGAAAGCGGGGGAUCGCAAGACCUCGCGCGAUUGGAGCGGCCGAUAUCAGAUUAGGUAGUUGGUGAGGUAAAGGCUCACCAAGCCGACGAUCUGUAGCUGGUCUGAGAGGACGACCAGCCACACUGGGACUGAGACACGGCCCAGACUCCUACGGGAGGCAGCAGUGGGGAAUUUGGACAAUGGGCGAAAGCCUGAUCCAGCAAUGCCGCGUGAGUGAUGAAGGCCUUCGGGUUGUAAAGCUCUUUUACUCGGGACGAUAAUGACGGUACCGAGAGAAUAAGCCCCGGCUAACUCCGUG
rnacentral:rRNA from 1 species